rnacentral:rRNA from 1 species
UACGUAGGGGGCGAGCGUUGUCCGGAUUUACUGGGCGUAAAGCGCACGCAGGCGGUCUGCUAAGUUUGGAGUGACAGUUGGCGGCUUAACUGCCAAAGUGCUUCGAAAACUGACAGACUUGAGGGCUUCAGAGGGACACGGAAUUCCGGGUGGAGUGGUGAAAUGCGUAGAGAUCCGGAGGAACACCAAAGGCGAAGGCAGUGUCCUGGGGAGUACCUGACGCUCAGGUGCGAAAGCCAGGGGAGCGAACGGG